GCAUGUCUAAGUAUAAGCGACUAUACUGUGAAACUGCGAAUGGCUCAUUAAAUCAGUUAUGGUUUAUUUGAUGGUACCUACUACUUGGAUAACCGUAGUAAUUCUAGAGCUAAUACAUGCAGGAAGACCCGACUUCGGAAGGGUUGUAUUUAUUAGAUAAGAAACCAAUCCAGCUUGCUGGUUGCGUGCCGAGUCACAAUAACUGCUCGAAUCGCAUGACUUUACGUCGGCGAUGGUUCAUUCAAAUUUCUGCCCUAUCAGCUUUCGAUGGUAGGAUCGAGGCCUACCAUGGCGUUUACGGGUAACGGAGAAUUAGGGUUCGAUUCCGGAGAGGGAGCCUGAGAAAUGGCUACCACAUCCAAGGAAGGCAGCAGGCGCGUAAAUUGCCCGAAUCCUGACACAGGGAGGUAGUGACAAGAAAUAACGAUACAGGGCUACAUCUAGUCUUGUAAUUGGAAUGAGUACAAUUUACAUCUCUUAACGAUGAUCAAUUGGAGGGCAAGUCUGGUGCCAGCAGCCGCGGUAAUUCCAGCUCCAAUAGCGUAUAUUAAAGUUGUUGCAGUUAGAACGCUCGUAGUCGGAUUUCGGGGCGUUCCGACCGGUCUGCCGAUGGGUAUGCACUGGCCGGAGUGUCCUUUUUGCCGGAGACCGUGCCUACUCUUAACUGAGCGGGGGCGGGAGGCGGCACUUUUACUUUGAAAAAAUCAGAGUGUUUCAAGCAGGCAGCUCGCUCUUGCAUGGAUUAGCAUGGGAUAAUGAAAUAGGACUUUGGUGCUAUUUUGUUGGUUUCG
rnacentral:rRNA from 1 species